rnacentral:rRNA from 1 species
GGGCCUGCGUUUCAUUAGCUUGUUGGUGAGGUAAAGGCUCACCAAGGCGACGAUGGGUAGCUGGUCUGAGAGGACGAUCAGCCACACUGGAACUGGAACACGGUCUAGACUCCUACGGGAGGCAGCAGUGAGGAAUAUUGCGCAAUGGGGGAAACCCUGACGCAGCGAUGCCGCGUGGGUGAAGAAGGCCUUCGGGUCGUAAAGCCCUGUCAGGCGGGAAGAAUAGUCUGGGGACGAAUAAUCCCCAGGCAUGACGGUACCGCUGAAGGAAGCACCGGCUAACUCCGUGCCAGCAGCCGCGGUAAGACGGAGGGUGCGAGCGUUAUUCGGAAUUAUUGGGCGUAAAGGGUGUGCAGGCGGUCGGUCAAGUCAGAUGUGAAAGCCCGGGGCUCAACCCCGGAAGUGCAUUUGAAACUGGUCGACUUGAGUUCGGGAGAGGGAAGCGGAAUUCCGGGUGUAGAGGUGAAAUUCGUAGAUAUCCGGAGGAACACCGGUGGCGAAGGCGGCUUCCUGGACCGAAACUGACGCUGAGACACGAAAGCGUGGGGAGCAAACAGGAUUAGAUACCCUGGUAGUCCACGCUGUAAACGAUGAAUGCUAGGUGCCGGGC